rfam:Gammaproteobacteria bacterium RIFCSPHIGHO2_12_FTLL_37_34 rifcsphigho2_12_scaffold_11445, whole genome shotgun sequence.
GGAGAGAUGGCUGAGCGGUCGAAAGCGGCGGUCUUGAAAACCGUUGAGUCCUUUGGGCUCCGGGGGUUCGAAUCCCUCUCUCUCCG